rnacentral:lncRNA from 1 species
GUGUGGCCUCUUGGUCAGGUGCUUGUGGAGGUUUAGCUGAUGCCCUUUGGCUGUUUCUGGACUAAGAUCAUCAACUUUCUUAAACUGAAUCUGGUUUUCCUUGGGCUCUGUCGUCUGUGUUGUGGGUUUGUGGUGGUGGACACAGGAUGUGACAUUCUUGCUGGGAUCCCUGAAGUGACUAUAUCCUCUGCAAUAACAGAAAGUGAAACUUAUCUUUGUGCUUUAAGAGUGUAAAAAUUUUUAUUAAAGUACCAGUAAAACUAAAAGUGCCUACUUUUAGUUUUCACUGUAUUUUCUUCAACUCAGGCCCUCCCUCUGUUGUUACCUGCCAUCUGACACGGAAUUUUGUAACCUUCGAGAUCUGCGGUCUGGGGUCUGGUUGAAAGAUGGCGGCCCUCACUACCCUGUUUAAGUACAUAGAUGAAAAUCAGGAUCGCUACAUUAAGAAACUCGCAAAAUGGGUGGCUAUCCAGAGUGUGUCUGCGUGGCCGGAGAAGAGAGGCGAAAUCAGGAGGAUGAUGGAAGUUGCUGCUGCAGAUGUUAAGCAGUUG